rnacentral:rRNA from 1 species
AUUGAACGCUGGCGGCAUGCCUUACACAUGCAAGUCGAACGGCAGCGCGGGGCAACCUGGCGGCGAGUGGCGAACGGGUGAGUAAUAUAUCGGAACGUACCCUGGAGUGGGGGAUAACGUAGCGAAAGUUACGCUAAUACCGCAUACGAUCUAAGGAUGAAAGUGGGGGAUCGCAAGACCUCAUGCUCCUGGAGCGGCCGAUAUCUGAUUAGCUAGUUGGGGGGUAAAGGCCUACCAAGGCAUCGAUCAGUAGCUGGUCUGAGAGGACGACCAGCCACACUGGAACUGAGACACGGUCCAGACUCCUACGGGAGGCAGCAGUGGGGAAUUUUGGACAAUGGGCGAAAGCCUGAUCCAGCAAUGCCGCGUGAGUGAAGAAGGCCUUC